UACGAAGGGGGCUAGCGUUGCUCGGAAUACUGGGCGUAAAGCGUGCGCAGGCGGUGAUGUAAGACAGAUGUGAAAUCCCCGGGCUCACCUGGGAACUGCAUUUGUGACUGCAUCGCUGGAGUGCGGCAGAGGGGGAUGGAAUUCCGCGUGUAGCAGUGAAAUGCGUAGAUAUGCGGAGGAACACCGAUGGCGAAGGCAAUCCCCUGGGCCUGCACUGACGCUCAUGCACGAAAGCGUGGGGAGCAAACAGG
rnacentral:rRNA from 1 species